UCCGUUAUGGUCUAGUGGCUAGGAUACAUCGCUCUCAUAAGCAAGUGCCGAUGUGGCCGGGGUUCGAUUCCCCGUGACGGAA
rnacentral:tRNA from 1 species